rnacentral:lncRNA from 1 species
GAUCAGCGUCAAUCCCUAUGUCUUAGAUAUCGAGGUCUGGAUGGAGGCAUCCAAUCUGCUUCUUGGAUAAGUCAAAACCCUCGCCAAAGUAUCUGAAAGCUGCUAGCUCAACAACUUCGUGGAAGUCAUCCGAGGACUUGUAUUCCUCGAUGACUGACUCCUUGGCGACGACUGACUACUUCUUUAGCUCAGCUAUCUCCUUUUCGAGCCUAGCCAUGGUGGCAUCGUUAUCCUCCUUCAUUCUCUUCAACUCUUCAACUUUCCAAUGGCAUGCCGCUUCUAGGCCCUGAGAUCGACCACUUGUUUCUCCAACUUUGCGGCCACUUGCUGAGCACGGGUCAUCUCGAUUUUGACCAAGGCAGCACGGGCCUGUUGGGUCAUCGCUUCUUCUCUCAUUUGCCUACCACGUCUGAUGAGGGAAGACUCGAGCACCACCGCCUAAAAAAGAAAGAGUGAAUUCUUCAGAGAAAUGAAAAUGCAAAAGUAUUAAACUUAAAUAUAAAAAUAAAUAAUUACCUGACCGACAACAUGGAAGAACUGUGAGAUUGCUCGAUUGAGGUCCAAUCUCCCCACCUCAUCCUUGUCGGCAAGCGAGAUUACCCCCUUAAAGAGUUUCUCCUCCACGACGGGAGGGAUUCCCCAGCAUGGAGACCUUGAUCCCCAAAACAACGCCAGGGUGGCCAUGGUUCCCUCCCCAGGAGCUACAAUAGGUAAAGCCCCCUUGCUCGUCGCCUUGCUUGAUGAUGCCCUAGGCUUGGCUAAGGCCUUGGUAGAGGACCCCUUUUUUUGUCCUCUAUUAGCGGCAUAACCCCCUUCUUUUUAGAGUUAGCUGAUGAUUUGCCCUUCUUCAAGGGCAAGAUGUUGGGCUUCUCGUCCUUUGGGCGUUUCUCGCCAAUGACGAUCUCCUUUGAUGCUGGGGUCGUGCUCUUCGGCUUUGCUCCUUACGCCCUUUGGGCAAGCUUCUUGAGGCUGAUUCUUUUUGAUAUAGCUGCAAAAGAAAACUAAUGUCAGUUAAUGGAAAAGGUAAAAUACUUGAAGAAGAAAGAAGGCAGUACCAUCUGAUUUGAGCUCGGGGGCAACCAUGGUUCUAACCAGGCCUCCGACUAGAGCUCGAGCUUGAGCUUGAGCUACUUGGUUCCCAACUAAGGAAAGAGGGUCGAAGAUUUGCCCCAAGAAGUGUUAGCAGUAUCCUAUCAGGAAGACACGAUAAAACUCUUAUAUGCCUCUUCCUGAUGAUCCCUAGGUAUUCUACUGAGUCAUCUCGGGAAUUGUCACCUUGGCGAGGAUUGUCUCGGGAAUGAUGGGACUCACCCUCAUCGCCCGUAACUAGAGCUGCAUUGCCUACCUUUAUAUCCUCGGCACUGUCCAUGCCACUGGACGCCAUUGAUUUGGAGGCGAGUCCGAAGCUCCUAAGGAAGGACUUAGUGUCGAGAACUUCCUUGAUUGUAAAGAAGUCCCCUCCAUUAGUGAGUCCAAGAUCCCACUUAUUAGUCAGUCCUAGACAAGACAAGCGGUUUGUUGUCGCGCUUACCUAAAAAUGGUAGAACACUUAUUAGUCAAGGGAAAAGUGCGACACUUGAUAACUAAAAGAACGACUUAAUGGAUAAAGAUUGACCUGGGGUGCCCUACAACCUCGAGAUCCUUGGACCCCCAGCGUACCUAGAGAUCCCCGGGGAGAACUCCCAGUCCUCUCCUGAGAUGAAAAAGAUUUUCUUCUUCCAUCCCUUGACAUUUCUAGGGUACCCCCGAGUAGAGCCAUCUAGAGUCUAGCUUCGGGGUUUUAUACAGGCUGAACAGGCUCUUGAACUCGUUGAGGAAAAGGGCGAAGUUAUGAGCUUGCCAUAGUACCAUCAUGUAGAUGACACUUUGCCACGCAUUGGGAAUGAGCUCGGCAAGGCAGAUGUUAUAGAAGUACAAGAUCUUCCUAAUAGUGGGAUGGAUUGGAAGACAAAGACUGGCUUGAAAAGUGGCCUCAUAAAAGGCCAUCCCGCCCAGGUGAGUAGACUCUAUGGUCUCGUCCACCUCGAGUAACCUGAUGUGAAUGCCUAACGGAAUGGAACAUGACUCUAAGGCGAUGCAGCUCGUCUUGAGUCAUGGUAUUAGUUUCUCUCUCAAUUUGAGGUGGAGUAACAGGUGAGGGACUACCCUCAGGACUAGGGUUCCUCCCUAGGGGAGGAAGGAAGUGUAUUAACCUCGUCGGUCAUAUAUGACUUUUCUCCUAGGUGAUCGAAAAUCUAGGAGGGUAGAAAGUUUUCUAAAUUUUCUACGUCGCCGUUACCGGACAUAAAAUACAGACUAAAGAUUAAAAGUGGAUGGCUAAUACUUACUGAAUGACUUAGAUGAUGGCGAGAUGGCAAGCUGACAAGGGCGAGGUUCACGUUGGAGCGAAAGCAACACUUCAUUAUCACUGGCAAUAGAAGAGUACGCUGUGUGGUAGAACCCAUAUUUUAUAGAGGGCACCAAGGGCUGAGAUCUAUUUGUUUCAAAGGAUAGGAUCGCG